rnacentral:rRNA from 1 species
GAUGAACGCUGGCGGCGUGCAUAAUACAUGCAAGUCGAGCGAACAGACGAGGAGCUUGCUCCUCUGACGUUAACGGCGGACGGGUGAGUAACACGUGGCUAACCUACCUUUUAGACUGGGAUAACUUCGGGAAACCGGUGCUAAUACCGGAUAAUCUAUUGAACCGCCUGGUUCAAUUAUGAAAGUCGGUUUUGCUGUCACUUAUAGAUGGAUCCGCGCCUCAUUAGCUAGUUGGUAAGGUAACGGCUUACCCAGGCAACGAUGCGUAGCAGACCUCAGAGGGUGAUCGGCCACACUGGAACUGAGACACGGUCCAGACUCCUACGGGAGGCAGCAGUAGGGAAUCUUCCGCAAUGGGCGAAAGCCUGACGGAGCAACGCCGCGUGAGUGAGGAAGGUCUUCGGAUCGUAAAACUCUGUGAUUAGGGAAGAACAAACGUGUAAGUAACUAUGCACGUCUUGACGGUACCUAAUCAGAAAGCCACGGCUAACUACGUG